ensembl:snoRNA SNORA70 Small nucleolar RNA SNORA70
CUGCAGCUAAUAAGUCCAUCGGAUGCCUUUAUUCAUUGGUCUCUGUGUGCAAGGUUGCAAACAGUAGUCUCCUUUAGUGUGCGCAGCCUGUUGCCGUAUGGUUGCCCUAAGGGACCUUGGAGACAGCC